rnacentral:misc_RNA from 1 species
GAUGAAGAACGUAGCGAACUGCGAUAAGUAAUGUGAAUUGCAGAAUUCAGUGAAUCAUCGAGUCUUUGAACGCACAUUGCGCCCCCUGGCAUUCCGGGGGGCAUGCCUGUCCGAGCGUCAUUGCUGCCCUUCAAGCCCGGCUUGUGUGUUGGGUCGUCGUCCCCCCCGGGGGACGGGCCCGAAAGGCAGCGGCGGCACCGCGUCCGGUCCUCGAGCGUAUGGGGCUUUGUCAUCCCGCUCGAUUAGGGCCGGCCGGGCGCCAGCCGGCGUCUCCAACCUUCUAUUUUACCAGGUUGACCUCGGAUCAGGUAGGGAUACCCGCUGAACUUAAGCAUAUCAAUAAGCGGAGGA